rnacentral:rRNA from 1 species
UACGGAAGGGGCGAGCGUUGUUCGGAAUCAUUGGGCGUAAAGGGCGCGUAGGUGGUUCUGUAUGUCUACCGUGAAAGCGUACGGCUCAACCGUAUUUUGUCGGUAGAAACUGCAGGACUUGAGGCUGGGAGGGGCUGGUGGAAUUCCCUGUGUAGCGGUGAAAUGCGCAGAUAUCGGGAGGAACACCAAUGGCGAAGGCAGCUCGCUGGGACGUUACUGACGCUGAGACGCGAAAGCGUGGGGAGCAAACAGG